UACGUAGGGGGCAAGCGUUGUCCGGAUUCAUUGGGCGUAAAGAGCGUGUAGGCGGCCAGGUAGGUCGGUUGUGAAAACUGGAGGCUACAACCUUCAGAGGUCGAACCGAAACCAUCUGGCUAGGAGUCCGGGAGAGGAGAGUGGAAUUCCUGGUGUGAGCGGUGGAAUGCGCAGAUAGUCAGGAGGAACACCGAUAGCGAAGGCAGCUCGCUGGGACGGUACUGACGCUGAGGCGACGAAAGCGUGGGGAGCAAACAGG
rnacentral:rRNA from 1 species